UGCUUUGUGCAGUAGAAAUAUCAGAACUUAUGAAGAACAACUGAUUAUUUCUAAUUGAAAACUUUACCCAAUACCACACCAAGUCUGUGUUUAUACAGACUGGGCAGCUUUUAAUAAUCUCUGUAGAGA